GGCGUGCGUACGGCAUCAAGAUUUGCUUGCAAAACAAAAGCGCUGGUUGCCUAUGCUUUCAGUAUCAGUUCUCUCCUUUGUGCAGCAGAGUCUGAUCACCUUACGAACAUCUAAAAUGGCUUUCGCUCUCGCCACCUCGCGCGAGGCUCUGCAGGUCGCAUGCAAGGCGACCGGCAAGAAGGCCGCUGCUAAGGUCCGUUUUAUUUCGACACCAUUUAUUUUAUCAGCGUACCUUACAUAGACGCACAUACGUAUUUGCAGUGUCCUCUGGCUAACCAGAGACGUUUGUCCCGUUCGCAACAUCUUUACAGCCGGCUGCCCCCAAGAGCUCUGGUAUCGAGUGGUAUGGCCCGAACCGCGCUAAGUGGCUCGGUAGGUUAUCCUGGAGAUCCGAGGAGAUCCGAUAUGCAGCGGGUGUAGCGCGUAUCGGAGGGCCGGAAUAAUCGGUCGGUCUCGUGCAUGGUCCUCCUUUCGGCGCAACAUGCCGCAGCGUCAGGUUUCUGUGCGCAGGCUGCUCUCUCGGUCCUUUGCUGACAUCGCGCGAUGCAUGCUGCGAUGAAGGGCACAGGUUGCGUCUUUCCCCCUUUCGCGACCUGCCGUUCAGUAGCCCGCUGCCGCCGUAUGUCCGCUUUCCCCUUCUGUGCCCACAUCGGACAGGCCCCUACAGCGAGAAUGCCACCCCUGCCUACCUGACUGGCGAGUUCCCCGGUGACUACGGCUGGGACACUGCCGGCCUGUCCGCUGACCCGGAGACGUUCAAGCGCUACCGCGAGCUGGAGCUGAUCCAUGCGCGCUGGGCCAUGCUUGGCGCUCUGGGCUGCCUGACCCCCGAGCUGCUGUCCAAGAACGGCGUGCAGUUCGGUGAGGCUGUGUGGUUCAAGGCCGGCGCUCAGAUCUUCCAGGAGGGCGGCCUGGACUACCUGGGCAACCCGUCGCUGGUGCACGCUCAGAACAUCGUCGCGACGCUGGCGUGUCAGGUGGGCGGGAGGGACGUGGCUGCAUGCUUAGGAAUGUGUCCGGUCGCCUUACUUGUUAGCUGGCUAGGUGAAACAAGUGGGGCGCGGCAACUGUGCUGCCANNNNNNNNNNNNNNNNNNNNNNNNNNNNNNNNNNNNNNNNNNNNNNNNNNNNNNNNNNNNNNNNNNNNNNNNNNNNNNNNNNNNNNNNNNNNNNNNNNNNNNNNNNNNNNNNNNNNNNNNNNNNNNNNNNNNNNNNNNNNNNNNNNNNNNNNNNNNNNNNNNNNNNNNNNNNNNNNNNNNNNNNNNNNNNNNNNNNNNNNNNNNNNNNNNNNNNNNNNNNNNNNNNNNNNNNNNNNNNNNNNNNNNNNNNNNNNNNNNNNNNNNNNNNNNNNNNNNNNNNNNNNNNNNNNNNNNNNNNNNNNNNNNNNNNNNNNNNNNNNNNNNNNNNNNNNNNNNNNNNNNNNNNNNNNNNNNNNNNNNNNNNNNNNNNNNNNNNNNNNNNNNNNNNNNNNNNNNNNNNNNNNNNNNNNNNNNNNNNNNNNNNNNNNNNNNNNNNNNNNNNNNNNNNNNNNNNNNNNNNNNNNNNNNNNNNNNNNNNNNNNNNNNNNNNNNNNNNNNNNNNNNNNNNNNNNNNNNNNNNACCAGAGACGUUUGUCCCGUUCGCAACAUCUUUACAGCCGGCUGCCCCCAAGAGCUCUGGUAUCGAGUGGUAUGGCCCGAACCGCGCUAAGUGGCUCGGUAGGUUAUCCUGGAGAUCCGAGGAGAUCCGAUAUGCAGCGGGUGUAGCGCGUAUCGGAGGGCCGGAAUAAUCGGUCGGUCUCGUGCAUGGUCCUCCUUUCGGCGCAACAUGCCGCAGCGUCAGGUUUCUGUGCGCAGGCUGCUCUCUCGGUCCUUUGCUGACAUCGCGCGAUGCAUGCUGCGAUGAAGGGCACAGGUUGCGUCUUUCCCCCUUUCGCGACCUGCCGUUCAGUAGCCCGCUGCCGCCGUAUGUCCGCUUUCCCCUUCUGUGCCCACAUCGGACAGGCCCCUACAGCGAGAAUGCCACCCCUGCCUACCUGACUGGCGAGUUCCCCGGUGACUACGGCUGGGACACUGCCGGCCUGUCCGCUGACCCGGAGACGUUCAAGCGCUACCGCGAGCUGGAGCUGAUCCAUGCGCGCUGGGCCAUGCUUGGCGCUCUGGGCUGCCUGACCCCCGAGCUGCUGUCCAAGAACGGCGUGCAGUUCGGUGAGGCUGUGUGGUUCAAGGCCGGCGCUCAGAUCUUCCAGGAGGGCGGCCUGGACUACCUGGGCAACCCGUCGCUGGUGCACGCUCAGAACAUCGUCGCGACGCUGGCGUGUCAGGUGGGCGGGAGGGACGUGGCUGCAUGCUUAGGAAUGUGUCCGGUCGCCUUACUUGUUAGCUGGCUAGGUGAAACAAGGUGGGGCGCGGCAACUGUGCUGCCAGCCCUUGACUGUCGUAAGCUCCCCUGCCUUUUGCGCGCUCUUACAUUCAGCUUGGCUUUGGAUUCCUAGUCGCAGCCUUGUGACAUGUGAGCAUUGUGCGUUAUCGCACGCACAUCCAGGAAUCUGGGUGUCUCGUUUCCUAUCCAGCUUGGUUUUAUUGCAACGUAACCCCAAGCGAGCAGACGACGCGUUAGAUGGCGUGUUGCAUAUCCGUAUUGACUGCUGUCUUCUCCCCCGCUCUCGCUGCUCACGUGCCGCGCAGGUGAUCCUGAUGGGCCUGGUGGAGGGCUACCGUGUGAACGGCGGCCCGGCCGGCGAGGGCCUGGACCCGCUGUACCCCGGCGAGUCGUUCGACCCCCUGGGCCUGGCUGACGACCCGGACACCUUCGCCGAGCUCAAGGUCAAGGAGAUCAAGAACGGCCGCCUGGCCAUGUUCUCCAUGUUCGGCUUCUUCGUGCAGGCCAUUGUGACCGGCAAGGGGCCCAUUGAGAACCUGAACGACCAUCUGGCCAACCCGGCCGUCAACAACGCCUUCGCCUUCGCCACCAAGUUCACGCCCAGCGCGUAAUGUAUCGCUGCUACGUUUGCUAGUCGAAGCGGUUGUCCGCAUCUGCCGGCCGCUGCUGCCUUCAGCUACGUUACGUUGUUUAGCUAUGUGAACGUAGACACAACAUACCCAAUAAACUGCCAAUACCGGUAUACGAGACGUCACAUGCAUAGCAAUUGCAGGCAGUAGUUGCCUAUCCGUCGCUGUUGGGUAAAUACGCUUGGAUGCGCAGCUUGCCAAAACUGUUGAGUGAUGCGUGGGUGCUUGUCAGUUAUUUCCAUCGAACCUCGUUGUCGCACUGUGGCCACCUCUGUUUUUAAUGUCGUGUUCCUGCGAUGAGUUCCCGCGUGGUGAGUGGUGAGCAGCGGCGGAAGCGGUCCUGUUACGGGCCUGAAGUUUUGAUGUGGGUGUUUCCCAGUAGGGGUUUCCCACAGCACGGGUGUUGAGGUGGAGCUCUUACUUUUGGGUGGGGUAUUGGGCGGUGAGACGUGAGAUAUCAAGAGCUUCAUACAAAGCGCAUGCACGUGCUGGGUGCGUUGCGCCAAGCAAGCUCCUGUAACAUUUCGGUGUUCAUGACAUAAGGAAGGUCUCGGUUCCAGUGCUUGUUUCACCGCUUCUUGGGGCGGGAGCACAUACAGCCAUUUUGGUGGGCGCGUACUGCAAAGGCGGCCACGCAAACAGGCACACAUGGAGAACACGCGCGAGACACGAGCUAAAGGAACAUGUCAUUCAGAGGGAUGAUUCGAGGUGCAUAUGGCCACGCUCUAUCGCGCGAAAGAAGCCAAGGGUUAUCGUGGCUUUCCUGUGUUAGCGAAGUGAGCUAGGCGCUUAAUCGCGGGUUGAUGGCCUCGGUUGUCGUACAGUGCAAGAGUUAAACUUCAGCAAACCACGUUGGUAGGUCACUCCCCGCCGACAUCAUCACUGGCGCGGCAUAGGUCAUCGCCAAUCCCUCUAGCGUACAGCGGCCUCGGCCUCCGCGAACCAGGCUCGCUACCUUCCUCACAGCCAGGAACUACGUUGCCACUGGAAGGUACCCCGAUGCACCAAGAAGGCUUAUUGUGGCGCUCGCCUCGGGCUUAUGUGUCCCGUUUCGGAUAGCACAGCAUCAGCACCACGAAAAACCUGCCGAUAUGCAUAACAAAAAAUCACACACACACACCAACACACACACACAUACUUACAAACACAAACACACACAAACACAAACCACACACUCACUCUCUUUCUUUUUCUUGUCAUGCAGAAACACACAGACGCACACCCACACCCACACACAUGCACACACGCGCACACACAUGCACACACACACACACACACGCACACACACGCACAUACGCACACGCACACGCCACACUUAAGUCGAAGGAAAAAGGCACGAAGUCGGACUGGAGCCUUGUAAUGAGUGAUGCCGUUACCUGGAUUACAGUCCGGUGUAGAACCAUGGGACGUGCAAUGAUAUGGAGUCUUAAAAGCUCGGCAACCAGAUGGACGCCGCUGCAUGCUGGCUACUGCUUUCAGUAUCACCCUGGCUGGCAGGCCCCUUUCGAUCAGUUUCGCAUCCGCAAGGCCAGAGCAUGCAGCAUCGCCAAUGGUUUGACCACCUGCUCCCGUAACUUAAGAACCAAAUACCGAAUGCCAGUGCCAUGGGUCCAGUACUCCCCCAGAAAGGCAGGAUGACACACAAAUAGGCUACCCGCUGUCCCUUGUCUAUCUGGUACUGCCCCGCGACUUUAUGCAUAAAACUGCUGGUCACAAGAAGUUCUUCUUUGUUCCUUUCACAGUUCAAUUGGUAGCCUGAAGCUAAGCAUGCGUGGAGUGCUGAACAUGUAGCGUGCGUGGUGAAACCCCUGGCAAAAGAGGUAACAAACAGAGGGCGUGCUGGCGUUCCGUUCAGUACUUCAGAGGUCAAAGGCAAGCCAUGGGCAAAGUAGGAGCUUUUCCCAGGUGCCAGCCUUAGGCUCCGACGUUUGGAAGCCCGUGGCCGAUUGUAAGUUGCGAAGAGCUCAUGCGUUUGGUCGAGGCCGACCGUCCUCCCUUGAUCGGACGACAGGUUGCUACGCACGUGCUUGUUGCUUUCCUUCGGUCCUAAACGGCCUCCGGUUCGGCGCUGUCGCCCUUUUGCGGUCCAGCAGAGCUUGGACCUUGUGUUCACCGGCCCUGUCCGGGAUGGAAUGCCCUUUGCCGUCCUAAGCAGCGUGACCCAUUAUAUCAGCUUGCUUCCUAGCAAGGACAACAGCUACUGUCCUCCCGUCCUACGGUACUGGUAAUGAGUAAAGGCCGAACAGCUAGGGUCAAACAUGGAGAGACCACUUUUGGCGCCUAAAGAAUGCAUUGCAGUGCGUAUCAAAAUCCAUGUUCAGCGUGCACGUCACAGCAUUUAUACAGUCGCCACUGAGUUAUCCCUGCAUCAGAAACUUGUAUGAAACUUGCAAGCAGGUGUAGCAAAUCGUUCAUGCCAAUCUGUGCAAGUGCAGAUAGCUGUUAAGCGCAUGUGUUGCAGGUGUGCCAUGUCUGUAUCCUGCGAUCUCUGUUAGGUAAGCGCCCUGUCCCACGGACAGGACAGGGAUACGGCGUGCGUACGGCAUCAAGAUUUGCUUGCAAAACAAAAGCGCUGGUUGCCUGUGCUUUCAGUAUCAGUUCUCUCCUUUGUGCAGCAGAGUCUGAUCACCUUACGAACAUCUAAAAUGGCUUUCGCUCUCGGCACCUCGCGCGAGGCUCUGCAGGUCGCAUGCAAGGCGACCGGCAAGAAGGCCGCUGCUAAGGUCCGUUUUAUUUCGACACCAUUUAUUUUAUCAGCGUACCUUACAUAGACGCACAUACGUAUUUGCAGUGUCCUCUGGCUAACCAGAGACGUUUGUCCCGUUCGCAACAUCUUUACAGCCGGCUGCCCCCAAGAGCUCUGGCAUCGAGUGGUAUGGCCCGAACCGCGCUAAGUGGCUCGGUAGGUUAUCCUGGAGAUCCGAGGAGAUCCGAUAUGCAGCGGGUGUAGCGCGUAUCGGAGGGCCGGAAUAAUCGGUCGGUCUCCUGCAUGGUCCUCCUUUCGGCGCAACAUGCCGCAGCGUCAGGUUUCUGUGCGCAGGCUGCUCUCUCGGUCCUUUGCUGACAUCGCGCGAUGCAUGCUGCGAUGAAGGGCACAGGUUGCGUCUUUCCCCCUUUCGCGACCUGCCGUUCAGUAGCCCGCUGCCGCCGUAUGUCCGCUUUCCCCUUCUGUGCCCACAUCGGACAGGCCCCUACAGCGAGAAUGCCACCCCUGCCUACCUGACUGGCGAGUUCCCCGGUGACUACGGCUGGGACACUGCUGGCCUGUCUGCUGACCCGGAGACGUUCAAGCGCUACCGCGAGCUGGAGCUGAUCCAUGCACGCUGGGCCAUGCUUGGCGCUCUGGGCUGCCUGACCCCCGAGCUGCUGUCCAAGAACGGCGUGCAGUUCGGUGAGGCUGUGUGGUUCAAGGCCGGCGCUCAGAUCUUCCAGGAGGGCGGCCUGGACUACCUGGGCAACCCGUCGCUGGUGCACGCUCAGAACAUCGUCGCGACGCUGGCGUGCCAGGUGGGCGGGAGGGACGUGGCUGCAUGCUUAGGAAUGUGUCCGGUCGCCUUACUUGUUAGCUGGCUAGGUGAAACAAGGUGGGGCGCGGCAACUGUGCUGCCAGCCCUUGACUGUUGCAAGCUCCCCUGCCUUUUGCGCGCUCUUACAUUCAGCUUGGGUUUGGAUUCCUAGUCGCAGCCUUGUGACAUGUGAGCAUUGUGCGCUAUCGCACGCACAUCCAGGAAUCUGGGUGUCUCGUUUCCUAUCCAGCUUGGUUUUAUUGCAGGCCGUACCCUGGCGUGUUGCUUAUCCGUAUUGACCGCUGUCUUCUCCCCCGCUCUCGCUGCUCACGUGCCGCGCAGGUGAUCCUGAUGGGCCUGGUGGAGGGCUACCGUGUGAACGGCGGCCCGGCCGGCGAGGGCCUGGACCCGCUGUACCCCGGCGAGUCGUUCGACCCCCUGGGCCUGGCUGACGACCCGGACACCUUCGCCGAGCUCAAGGUCAAGGAGAUCAAGAACGGCCGCCUGGCCAUGUUCUCCAUGUUCGGCUUCUUCGUGCAGGCCAUUGUGACCGGCAAGGGGCCCAUUGAGAACCUGAACGACCAUCUGGCCAACCCGGCCGUCAACAACGCCUUCGCCUUCGCCACCAAGUUCACGCCCAGCGCGUAAUGUAUCGCUGCUAUGUUUGCUAGUCGAAGCGGUUGUCCGCAUCUGCCGGCCGCUGCUGCCUUCAGCUACGUUACGUUGUUUAGCUAUGUGAACGUAGACACAGCAUAACCAAUAAACUGACAAUACCGGUAUACGAGACGUCACAUGCAUAGCAAUUGCAGGCAGUAGUUGCCUAUCCGUCACUGUUGGGUAAAUACGCUUGGAUGCGCAACUUGCCAAAACUGUUGAGUGAUGCGUGGGAGCUUGUCAGUUAUGUCCAUCGAACCUCGUUGUCGCACUGUGGCCACCUGUGGUUUUUAUGUCGUGUUCCUGCGAUGAGUUUCCGCAUGGUGCCGUGGUGAGUGGUGAGUGGUGAGCAGCGGCGGAAGCGGUCCUGUUACGGGCCUGAAGUUUUGUUGUGGGUGUCAGCCAGCAGGAGUUUCCCACAGCACGGGUGUUGAGGUGGAGCUCUUACUUUUGGGUGGGGUAGUGGGCGGUGAGACGUGAGAUGUCAAGAGCUUCAUACAAGGCGCAUGCACGUGCUGGGUGCGUUGCGCCAAGCAAGCUCCUGUAACAUUUCGGGUGUUCAUGAAGUAAGGAAGGUGUCGGUUCCAGUGCUUGUUUCACCGCUUCUUGGGGCUGGAGCACAUACAGCCAAUUUGGUGGGCACGUACUGCAAAGGCGGCCACACAACAGGCACACAUGGGGAACACGCGUGAGACAUGAGCUAAAGGAACAUGUCAUCAUUCAGAGGGAUGAUUCGAGGUGCAUAUGACCACGCUCUGUCGCGCAUAAAAAGCCAAGGGUUAUCGUGGCUUUCCUGUGUUAGCGAAGUGAGCUCAGGCGCUUCAUCGCGGGUUGAUGGCCUCGGUUGUCGUACAGUGCAAGAGUUAAACUUCAGCAAAACAUGUUGGUAGGUCACUCCUCGACGACAUCAGCAGCAGGGUAGUCACGCCUACCUCCCGUUCGGCCCCACGGUCUCGAUCCACAAUCGCACAACCACCGAUAAACUGAAUCCCCGAUAAGAAUCCGAACUUGAAUCGAUGGGAUAUGGUGGUUAGCACGUGAUGGAACCGGAAGCGUGAAGAGUUGGUGUGGGACCAGGGGACCCCCCGGCAGGGUAGUCACGCCUACCUCCCGUUCAGCCCAAUGGUCUCGAUCCACAAUCGCCGAUUAGUUAUUUCUCCGAUUGAUUUGGAACCAGAAUCGCCCAGAUUUGGUGGGGAUGCAUGUAUGCGUGCCACCUGUAACCCGCCUGGAGGGGCCAUCAGCACACCAGCGCACUCGAUAAUCUCGAUAAAACUAACCGUGUAACUCGUAUCGCAUCGCUCACAAUCGCUUAAGCCCGAUCAGUGAAUCGACGCGACCAGAAACAGCUGCAUUGGGAAUCCGCGCGACUUUGGCCGGACAGCGACCCUGCGACUUCCCGCCGACUGCAGCUUUUCUUCGCUUCGGUCGAUAUCAAAUACUAUCAAAGUCCAUAAACGCAGAACUUUGGUUAGCGAGGAGUCGCGAGAUGUUUCACAGCAGCUAACUUAGGAACCUUCGCACGUGUGCGCCGAUUUGCCGAAGCAACCAGUUACGCACACCUCUUUUUCUAUGGGUUGGCAACUCACUGGGCGCGCGUAACCCUCAGAAACCCUCAGUAACUGUCAGUUCCGCUCAGUUGGGCUCAGUCCCACUCAGUUCCCCUCAGUUCCUCUCAGUACCGCUCAGUUCCAUUCAGUUAGGCUGAGUUUUCUCAGAAGAACUAAUAAUUCAUACAAACAGUAUAGCAAGCUUCAGGCAGACUUCUGCAUCUUCCACUGGCCUUGUUGGCUCUGAAGGCAUCAGGACUCACCUACCAUACCUUGCAUCUGCUACAAUACAAUCAAACCUUACUUGGUACUCCAGUGCACCGUCCUUGAACCUACUCUUCUCUAAUCGACUAACCUCCACAUGCUCCUCACCUUCGUUACUCUCCUUCGUGGGCUCCUUGCGUCCUUGGUCAUAAUUUGCCCGGCUACUGGCAGCCCCUGGGCAGCCCCGACCCACGACCGGGAUCAGGCGCGGUGUGGGCGGAAUAGCCCUGAAAACUUAGCGCAAAGCCCUAUUCACCGAAGGCAGACCUAAGAAGCGCUGUCAGGAACUGUGCACAGGCCCGCUUGGGGCCAGGAUUCUGAAGUGUCAGUUUGGGUUGACAGCGCCUCAGGCACUCCUAGGCUAGGCCUUGGCUCUGCACUUACCACCCUGCACGUCCUCCUCCUGGAACGUGGAUGGGCGCCUGCACUGCUGCUGCUGCUCCUGGCGCCAAAACACAGCCGAGCAUUCCUGCCGCGCAUGAGAAACUGUCACAAGCGGUGCCCCAGGCCGAAGCCACCAGAAGCAAGCCAGCGUGUUACAUGCAGCUCCUUGGUCCUGGCCCUCAUCCUAGUUCUUUUGCGAAAUGUAUGUGGUUGCCGGCGAAGAAAGGAGAGCAAUUACGUAUAUGUCAAGUAGUCGACUUGGAUAACCCUCGAUAGAGCCCAGUGCCCGGCAAGCCUCUGGUGUUCUCUGUUCCCCCGGCAUACCUUAGUCAAGGUAUUUCUGCUCUGCACCCGGAUGAAGACACUCAUCGCACGCUUGUCCCUGUCCUUGUUCGCAUGGUCCUGCGGGGGCACACUAACCUGCUGUGGUGACCGCGCCUCCCUCAGACGGGACAGCUACGGCACCUGAAGGCAAAGCGAGCAUCCGGGGAUACAGAGACAAGCAAAGCUUUGCAGGCCUUUAUGCAGGCCGAAGUUAUCAGAGCACUUAAAGGUGAGGAGCGAGGAGGUGCAAAGUUUCUUGGAGGGCAUGGGCUCCUUACUUACCCGGGGCGUCCUGUCCGGCCCGGCCUGGCCCGCAUGAGCCUGUCCUCAGCCUCCCUGACCGCAGCCGCAUCCUGAAGAAGUCGCAUUGGAAUCCAAGAGGCUGGGAAAACGAGACCACGCGCUGUCCCCUCGUCCUGCAGCUUGCCUAUCAUGCUGUUGUUGCUGAACAACUGCGGCCGGCCGUAUUGUGCCGAUGGUGACUCGAGCCUUUCUGCAUUCCAUCACAUCGACCGCGCCCCUGUUUGCGCACCGACCAUGCCAUGUCGAGCAAGGAGCUCAGUGACGCCUCUGCUGGCUUACUGAACGAUGUGAGGGAGUGAGGGGUGACAAGCUCGGAGUGUGAUUCGGCCCCGAUCCCGGCCCAGAUCCCGGAUGACGAAUCGUGCAGCAACGAAAUCUACGUGCUACUGGUCUUCCAUCAGUCAGCUGUCGAGGUGGGCAGUUGUUCUUGGGGGGGGGGGGCAGCUCAGGACGUGUUGUGGUGCUGUGCACACGCCGUGCCUGAGUGCCAGUCCUCCCUCUUCCAAACACGGCAGGAUAAGCUUCACGUGCAGGCGUCGGGUCAGCACACUGUGUACAUCCGGUCGCCUUGCACAGGCGUUCCAACACUGCGGGGCCGAGCGAGGCCCGUGGUUCGCUUGCGUUCGGCCUGCGAACCUCGCCAGACGCGCGGCUUGCGUAAAAGCAGUAAUCUAUUAACAGAUAGGCAGGCGGCUGGCAGUAAUCUAUUAACAGAUAGGCAGGCGGCUGGCAGAGGUUAAGGCCUGACUUCUGCUCCCAGUCGACCCAGUCGACCCGGGUUCAUAUCCGCCUGCCGGCUCCUCGGGUAUUUGAGGAGUGAUGAAAUGGGAGGUGGCCCCCCAUCAUAUGGACGGUGUAGGACGUGAUAAUAUCAACUUGCGAGCUGACCAGGAACUAAGUUGAUGCGCCGUUGAUCCGCUAGAUUUGGUUGGAUGCUGGUGGUGAGUUGCCGAACCCAACGAAUACAUUCUGAAGUCGGAUGGGGUGACGGAUUAGGGUGCCCCUCUAGCAGGGGAGAGCAGGGACUGCCCCGGGAAAGGGGGCCGCUGGCGAAGUUAACCACCCUGUAACAACAUACAUAUAGAUUCCAUGAGGUGCUGCGCAGCUCACUUCCCACGGCUACCGAGAUGUUAACCGAUGGCCAGGUAGUACUUUGCGGGUGCUUCUCUGUGUUUUCACGAAGUUGCUCGUCACACUGUACAAUCUAAUUCAGCAUUGCCGAGUCGCGAGCACGUCCCAAACGACUCCAUAACUUCCUGCAGUUUCCACUCCAGAAUAAAAUAGGGGGGUCCUUGUGAAGCAGCUGCCCGCGUUUCUAAAGCCUGUAUGUUGUUGGAUAGUAAGUUGCAGAAUGGGGCCAGGCUGGAGAGGCAAGUGCAGUGGCAUAAUGGAAUGUAGAUGAGUAGAAGCUGUUUCCAGGGCGCUUGGCGCACGGCACAAUGUACAUGCAGUCAUGUCGUCACAAGUGCGUAUGCAAGAACAACAGGAACAACAACCAGAAGAACAAGAACAGCACCACAGGAACAGCGUGUGCACAGGCCACGUUGCGUCGGUCCUUUGCUAUGAUGUAGGAACGAAGAAUAAGGCCUAGGUUCAAGUUUCCUGUUGCGCGUGGAUGGCCAUGCCAGAACAGGCAACAUGAUGGGUGAACUCGCACGCUACCAACUUGCCCCUGAGCACGCGACGAGCGGACAUAGAAAAGAGCGCAGCGGGCCCCCCCCUUUCCCCCAACGCUCACGCAAUAGACCAUCCCAAGCGCUGCUGUCCGUAUGGGCCGCAGCCGCCGUUCACACACGAGUUAAGUCCGACAUGUAUGCACCGUGAACAUGUAUGCACCGUGAAUGAAACCCUAAGUGUGAUCGUGCCCAAAUACAACAGCACUGCCCAAUGUCCAGAAGCCUAGCGCCGAAAUCGUGGGACCCUGUCCGUCAAGCGUUAGGUGUCCAGUUGCUGUGUGGGCUAGGCGAGCGUGGCUGGGGUGUCAUCGUCUUGGACUGUCACGGCGGUGGGCGUGUGGGCGCUGCCGGCGCGUUGCCGGCUCAUCGCGUAGAAGGCCGGGCUGGCGGAAGGCGGCCCGCGCAGCACAUUGUAGCCGCCCGGCCCCCGGGCCUUGAACUGCGCGAUGUAGAGGGCCUCCAUCUUUUGGGCUAGAGCAGGAUUGGCGGUGCGCAAAGCGUAUGAUGGUCGACCCCGCCGGCUAAAGCUACACGUCCCCAACUGAAGAUAUUCUCGGUGGUUUACCAGCAGGUGUUGUGCUUCCUGCUGUCUGAUGUCCUGAACGCUUCCUCUUCCCGCAGCCGUUUCAAGCGCCCAGUCUUGCAAGCUACGUUGUAUGCUUUCAUAUCUUUUCAUAUCUUAUUCAGCUCAGGCUAAGCAGCCAGCCAAAAGUCCGAGAUGCAUACCGCUUGUGACUGCGGCCAACAUGCCCUGACGAGCGGCCUAACGCCGAAAAAAUUACAUACACUUUUACAGGCGCAUUUUGAGAAUUGAACGCGCGCAUCCGCACGGCAAAAUUCGCUCCUGGCUUUUUUGGGACGAUGUACGAACUGUUUUUGGGCACAGUACGACCGGACACAUUUGUGCGAGAGGCUGCUUAAAUAGGGGGGUCCUUGUGACGCAGCUGCCCGCGUUUUCAAAGCACGUAUGGUGUUGGAUUGUAAGGUGCCCAAGUACGUUUGCGAGGAAGAGAAUGUGGCCAGGCUGGAGAGGAAAGUGCAGUGGCAUAUUGGAAUGUGAGAUUAGCGUAAGCGAGUUACAGGGCGUUUUAUUGCACGGGCGAAUUUACGUGCAAAUCUUUCACCGUAGCAUCAGUCCUCAGUUCACUUCUUGGAACGAACAUCAGCAUAGGUGCAAGCCCUCUCGCUUGGGGGGAUAUGCAAACAAACAUCCUGAUAGGGGUAAACUCGCACGCUACCGAGCAUUCAACCGAGCACAUGCAUGCUUAGUGAAUNNNNNNNNNNNNNNNNNNNNNNNNNNNNNNNNNNNNNNNNNNNNNNNNNNUUUUGGGUCCAGCAGAGCUUGGACCUUGUGUUCACCGGCCCUGUCCGGGAUGGAAUGCCCUUUGCCGUCCUAAGCAGCGUGACCCAUUAUAUCAGCUUGCUUCCUAGCAAGGACAACAGCUACUGUCCUCCCGUCCUACGGUACUGGUAAUGAGUAAAGGCCGAACAGCUAGGGUCAAACAUGGAGAGACCACUUUUGGCGCCUAAAGAAUGCAUUGCAGUGCGUAUCAAAAUCCAUGUUCAGCGUGCACGUCACAGCAUUUAUACAGUCGCCACUGAGUUAUCCCUGCAUCAGAAACUUGUAUGAAACUUGCAAGCAGGUGUAGCAAAUCGUUCAUGCCAAUCUGUGCAAGUGCAGAUAGCUGUUAAGCGCAUGUGUUGCAGGUGUGCCAUGUCUGUAUCCUGCGAUCUCUGUUAGGUAAGCGCCCUGUCCCACGGACAGGACAGGGAUACGGCGUGCGUACGGCAUCAAGAUUUGCUUGCAAAACAAAAGCGCUGGUUGCCUGUGCUUUCAGUAUCAGUUCUCUCCUUUGUGCAGCAGAGUCUGAUCACCUUACGAACAUCUAAAAUGGCUUUCGCUCUCGGCACCUCGCGCGAGGCUCUGCAGGUCGCAUGCAAGGCGACCGGCAAGAAGGCCGCUGCUAAGGUCCGUUUUAUUUCGACACCAUUUAUUUUAUCAGCGUACCUUACAUAGACGCACAUACGUAUUUGCAGUGUCCUCUGGCUAACCAGAGACGUUUGUCCCGUUCGCAACAUCUUUACAGCCGGCUGCCCCCAAGAGCUCUGGCAUCGAGUGGUAUGGCCCGAACCGCGCUAAGUGGCUCGGUAGGUUAUCCUGGAGAUCCGAGGAGAUCCGAUAUGCAGCGGGUGUAGCGCGUAUCGGAGGGCCGGAAUAAUCGGUCGGUCUCCUGCAUGGUCCUCCUUUCGGCGCAACAUGCCGCAGCGUCAGGUUUCUGUGCGCAGGCUGCUCUCUCGGUCCUUUGCUGACAUCGCGCGAUGCAUGCUGCGAUGAAGGGCACAGGUUGCGUCUUUCCCCCUUUCGCGACCUGCCGUUCAGUAGCCCGCUGCCGCCGUAUGUCCGCUUUCCCCUUCUGUGCCCACAUCGGACAGGCCCCUACAGCGAGAAUGCCACACCUGCCUACCUGACUGGCGAGUUCCCCGGUGACUACN
rnacentral:lncRNA from 1 species